rnacentral:sRNA from 1 species
GCUGUUACUGUCUCUCUUCACUUCUUUUCUCUCACAAUCUUCUUCAGUGCUCUCUCCUCUCUCUCUCUUCAGACUUGUACUGGGUCAUAUAAUUGCAAGAUGUCACAGAGAACACAGUCUUUUCUUCACUUCUCUUCUUUAUUUUUCUUUUCAGUACACUUAUUUUUUCUUUUUUUCUUUUAUCUAUUUUAUCUGUUUUUCUU